UACGGAAGGCAGCAGUGGGGAAUAUUGCACAAUGGGCGAAAGCCUGAUGCAGCUAUGCCGCGUGUAUGAAGAAGGCCUUAGGGUUGUAAAGUACUUUCAUCGGGGAGGAAAAACAAAACUAAUAAUUUUAUUUCUUGACGUUACCCGAAAAAGAAGCACCGGCUAACUCCGUGCCAGCAGCCGCGGUAAUACGGAGGGUGCUAGCGUUAAUCAGAAUUACUGGGCGUAAAGAGCACGUAGGUGGUUUUUUUAAAGUCAGAUGUGAAAUCCCUGGGCUUAACCUAGGAACUGCAUUUUGAAACUGAAAUACUAGAGUAUCGUAGAGGGAGGUAGAAUUCUAGGUGUAGCGGUGAAAAUGCGUAGAUAUCUGGAGGAAUACCUGUGGCGAAAAGCGGCCUCCUAAACGAAUACUGACACUGAGGUGCGAAAAGCGUGGGGAGCGAAACAGGGAUUAGAUACC
rnacentral:rRNA from 1 species